CAUGUGUAGAAUAUUGCAUAUUCUAUGUUUCUAUUGAUUAUAUAUAUGGAUGUGUGGAUUGACAUAAGUAACAGAUGGUAUCAAUAAGUCACAAGGCUUUCUUUGUCCGAGAGCUCUGGAAUGUGGAUGUGGGGGGUUUGUCCUUAUAUGGCUAGAGUUAUAUGCUGACGUUAGUAUUAGCACAUCUAUAUAGUAACAGAGGGACACGAGGUC